AGUUGGCACCAGCAAGGGAAAGACUUCCUCUUUCGAUGUCGCAGAGAAGAGAAGAACAAAAUAACGGUGAAAAAACAAAGAACGACGGAAGAAGGAGAAGAGGGUGGACGACAGGCACGGUCAUAGGGAAGGAUGCUAGAUCGACAGAGAAAAGAAGAGAAAUGAGGCGAUGGCGGUGAUGGAUGCCACCGCCGUUGUUGGAUCCGUAGAACCGUGUCCAUUUACCUAUCAAGCGGCAUUCUGCAGAGUGAUCAAUUUGAGAGAUGGUGUCGAGUUUUGGAUGGAUUAAAUUGAAAAAGCUAAAUCAGCUCUGGCUAAGGAUGAUGCUGAGCUUUUAAAAUUGAAAAAAAGAAGAAAGCACACUUAAAGAUAUUGUGCAACAGCUAAGCGGUAUCCUUUUUUUUUCAUGCUGCUCAUGACUGAUUCUGAACUUGAAUGUAAUGAAAAACGGCUGCCAGAUGCACCAGACAGGACACCAGCUGCCAAUAUUGAAGGUGACUGAAGCAUUGCAUUUUUAGGCACUGUCUAAGUCUCUAAGACAUUAACUGUAGACGAACUGUUUUAUUUAAAGGAGGAGUUUACACUUUUGAAGCCAAACAAAAAUGGAACGAUUUCAUGAUGCAAAUUCCAUGUCACUAGAGUUUAGUUUUCUUAAGGAUCUCAUUGAGAUUUUAGAGAGCAAAAGUAGCCUCAUUAAAGAGGCAGGAGCUUGCAAUGUCUCCAAUCAAAUUGAUAAUUUUCGUUGAUAAUGGGUUUCAAUUCAGUGUAUAGGAGCUUGCAAGAUACAUUCCUCUAAAAAAGGAUUAGGAGGCACAUAUGAAAGGGACGUGACAUUUGCUACUGCCCUUGAAAAUUUUGGAAGUGACCAUAAUGAUUUUCAUUUUGUUGCUUUAGGAGAUAAAUUUCAUAUU